AACGAACGCUGGCGGCAUGCCUAACACAUGCAAGUCGAACGAGAUCUUCGGGUCUAGUGGCGCACGGGUGCGUAACGCGUGGGAAUCUGCCCUUUGGUUCGGAAUAACAGUUGGAAACGACUGCUAAUACCGGAUGAUGACGAAAGUCCAAAGAUUUAUCGCUAGAGGAUGAGCCCGCGUAGGAUUAGCUAGUUGGUGUGGUAAAGGCGCACCAAGGCGACGAUCCUUAGCUGGUCUGAGAGGAUGAUCAGCCACACUGGGACUGAGACACGGCCCAGACUCCUACGGGAGGCAGCAGUGGGGAAUAUUGGACAAUGGGCGAAAGCCUGAUCCAGCAAUGCCGCGUGAGUGAUGAAGGCCUUAGGGUUGUAAAGCUCUUUACCCGGGAUGAUAAUGACAGUACCGGGAGAAUAAGCUCCGGCUAACUCCGUGCCAGCAGCCGCAGUAA
rnacentral:rRNA from 1 species